rnacentral:rRNA from 1 species
GAUGAACGCUGGCGGCGUGCCUAAUACAUGCAAGUCGAGCGAACGGACGAGAAGCUUGCUUCUCUGAUGUUAGCGGCGGACGGGUGAGUAACACGUGGAUAACCUACCUAUAAGACUGGGAUAACUUCGGGAAACCGGAGCUAAUACCGGAUGAUAUUUUGAACCGCAUGGUUCAAAAGUGAAAGACGGUCUUGCUGUCACUUAUAGAUGGAUCCGCGCUGCAUUAGCUAGUUGGUGAGGUAACGGCUUACCAAGGAAACGAUGCAUAGCCGACCUGAGAGGGUGAUCGGCCACACUGGAACUGAGACACGGUCCAGACUCCUACGGGAGGCAGCAGUAGGGAAUCUUCCGCAAUGGGCGAAAGCCUGACGGAGCAACGCCGCGUGAGUGAUGAAGGUCUUCGGAUCGUAAAACUCUGUUAUUAGGGAAGAACAUAUGUGUAAGUAACUGUGCACAUCUUGACGGUACCUAAUCAGAAAGCCACGGCUAACUACGUG